GACGAACGCUGGCGGCGUGCCUAAUACAUGCAAGUAGAACGCACAGUUUAUACCGUAGCUUGCUACACCAUAGACUGUGAGUUGCGAACGGGUGAGUAACGCGUAGGUAACCUGCCUGGUAGCGGGGGAUAACUAUUGGAAACGAUAGCUAAUACCGCAUAAUAUUAAUUAUUGCAUGAUAAUUAAUUGAAAGGUGCAAUUGCACCACUACCAGAUGGACCUGCGUUGUAUUAGCUAGUAGGUGAGGUAACGGCUCACCUAGGCGACGAUACAUAGCCGACCUGAGAGGGUGAUCGGCCACACUGGGACUGAGACACGGCCCAGACUCCUACGGGAGGCAGCAGUAGGGAAUCUUCGGCAAUGGACGAAAGUCUGACCGAGCAACGCCGCGUGAGUGAAGAAGGUUUUCGGGUCGUAAAGCUCUGUUGUAAGAGAAGAACGGGUGUGAGAGUGGAAAGUUCACACUGUGACGGUAUCUUACCAGAAAGGGACGGCUAACUACGUG
rnacentral:rRNA from 1 species